GGGUCAUUUUUGUGCCUACUACGAAGUAGUAGACACUUUGUUAUCGUGUCUAAUGCAAAUGAGUAAGUAACAAUAGAAUGACGUCAAAAUUMAAUCAAUACCCCUUCGGAAGACCCAUAAACACAGGAAGCCCUCGGAAGUGAUCGGCAGAACAUAUAACUUAGUGCGAUGACCGCCGAAAAUUCAAUCAUCUCUGCGGUUUUACGAACAAGUUCGUGAAAAUUUCUCGUCGUAUUCACUGCCGUAAAAGUUUGCGAGAAGAAAUUGCUCCUAACAGUCAGAUAAAGCUCAACCAAACACUGGUUCUGAAACUUCACGCAUGAACAAACAAAACAGAAACAAAACUCUAAUGAAUGUAUUCUAUUAAAGAAACAAGAUCAAACAAUGCCUAGUUAGAACUUCCAUUGUCCAAAAUGGUGACUUAAACUAUUAUUUAGAUUUUAUUUCAUAGAGAUAUUGUUCGCACUUUAUUACUUUGUAUCCAAUAAAAAGUGCCUUUUAAAGUCCCUAUUAAUAAAAAUACCUAGUAACGA